rnacentral:rRNA from 1 species
GACGAACGCUGGCGGCGUGCUUAACACAUGCAAGUCGAACGGAAAGGCCCUGCUUUUGUGGGGUUCUCGAGUGGCGAACGGGUGAGUAACACGUGAGUAACCUGCCCUUGACUUUGGGAUAACUUCAGGAAACUGGGGCUAAUACCGGAUAGGAGCUCCUGCUGCAUGGUGGGGGUUGGAAAGUUUCGGCGGUUGGGGAUGGACUCGCGGCUUAUCAGCUUGUUGGUGGGGUAGUGGCUUACCAAGGCUUUGACGGGUAGCCGGCCUGAGAGGGUGACCGGCCACAUUGGGACUGAGAUACGGCCCAGACUCCUACGGGAGGCAGCAGUGGGGAAUAUUGCACAAUGGGCGGAAGCCUGAGGCAGAAACGCCGCGUGCGGGAUGACGGCCUUCGGGUUGUAAACCGCUUUCGCCUGUGACGAAGCGUGAGUGACGGUAAUGGGUAAAGAAGCACCGGCUAACUACGUG